GGUUUUGUUGUUGCUGUUGGCAAGGCAAGACGGUGGAGGAGGUGGUGCUACUAGUGGUAAUGGAGUGUCCGUUAGACAAGUGCGGAAGUUGCUGUAUCUUAUCCAACAAUUCUCGUAACUGGAAAAAGAACAGAGAGAUAUCGCAACGUACCUCUAUCGUCGGGCUGGUAGCCCUCGGUGGGGAGCAAGGCGAUUGAGCAGCUAGGCUUGAUAUGUCAGAAGUUGUUCUGUGAUUUGUCAAGGAGACGACCGAACCAGCCUCUCUGCGCUCGCACUCCGCUGCUGAUAGCUCGUCGACGCUGUUGUUGCAAGAGUACGGUGGUGGAAUGAUGGUAUUUGCCUCGUUUACCAUGUUGCACAUGAAGCUGGAGCUCAGCGAGUCCAACGUGCUCGCGUGAGACAGCGAUCUGAAGUAGCGCAUCACGAAGCCAGAAGUACCCUUGCCCGUACUCUCAUCGUAACCAAUCACUAGCGGAUAAAGGUCUGGCUUUGCGGUGACCUGGGUAUAGGAUAAAAGGGUGGAGGUAAGGCCUGGACGAAGGAACUGCAUCGGCUGUAAUGAGGAGGCGGAUACCACGGACCUGUGGAAGUCCUCUCCGAAGACACACAAUCUUCUGACAGCGUUGAACGUCGACGUUUCCAUAGCCAGAAGCCGCACGCUGCGGCUAUGGCCAAGGCUGUGAGCACUGCUGCCCUGAAAGUGAAACGUUUCGUCGUUCCACGGUCCGAAUUAACGACAACGACAAUGUACAACGGAAAAUUUAUAUAUCGAUUUCCAGGAGUUACGAGAAUCUCCCUCGGACACGAUACAACGAUGUUCAAACAGACGCGACUUUCGCGAUAGCCCGUGUUCACCGCGAAUCGACGGGAAUCUGGACAAAACGUUGGAUGAUCCAUCAAAUUAUCACGUUACGAUACGAUGAAUGUCAGAAGCAGAACGCUGACCAUCGGCGGAGGAGUUAAGAGGAGCACGGGGAAAGACUUACGCAUGAACGGCAAGCACGGCGGCGGCGGCGGGCGCGUAUUGAUCGAGAGCGCGAGGAGCCGAGCGGACUUAAGGGCACAUACGGACGAGGGUCGU